rnacentral:rRNA from 1 species
UACGUAGGCAGCAAGCGUUGUUCGGAAUUACUGGGCGUAAAGAGUGUGUAGGCGGUGCUCUAAGUUUGUCGUGAAAUCUCCCGGCUUAACUGGGAGGGUGCGGCGAAAACUGGAGUGCUAGAGGGUGGGAGAGGAAAGCGGAAUUCCUGGUGUAGCGGUGAAAUGCGUAGAUAUCAGGAGGAACACCUGCGGUGUAGACAGCUUUCUGGACCACUUCUGACGCUGAGACACGAAAGCGUGGGUAGCAAACAGG